rnacentral:rRNA from 1 species
AGAACGAACGCUGGCGGCAGGCUUAACACAUGCAAGUCGAGCGCCUCGCAAGAGGAGCGGCAGACGGGUGAGUAACGCGUGGGAACGUGCCCAAAGGUACGGAACAACUCCGGGAAACUGGAGCUGAUACCGUAUGUGCCCGAAAGGGGAAAGAUUUAUCGCCUUUGGAUCGGCCCGCGUCUGAUUAGCUAGUUGGUAGGGUAACGGCCUACCAAGGCGACGAUCAGUAGCUGGUCUGAGAGGAUGACCAGCCACACUGGGACUGAGACACGGCCCAGACUCCUACGGGAGGCAGCAGUGGGGAAUAUUGGACAAUGGGCGCAAGCCUGAUCCAGCCAUGCCGCGUGAGUGAUGAAGGCCUUAGGGUUGUAAAGCUCUUUCGCCAGGGACGAUAAUGACGGUACCUGGAUAAGAAGCCCCGGCUAACUUCGUGCCAGCAGCCGC